GGUAAAAUGGCUGAUAAUAGGCAAUAAAUUGUAAAUUUAUUCAUGAAAUUUAGAUUUCUUUUACCA
rnacentral:tRNA from 1 species